GGGCCAGGAUCCAUGAGGGAUUGAUUCUACUAGUCAAAGAGACCUUCAAGAAUGAUGAUAGUGUUUUAUCUCCAAGGAAAUAACAAUGCAUUUUGAAAGAAAUCGGAGUCAUAUCCAGAACUGUGAAAUUUAGAGGGAUCUGGUGAUUAAGGGAGGACGUGCAUCGCCCAAAUGACAACUUCUAACUGAAACAGUGUCCUUGGAUGUUGGUCGUGCAACUAUGCAAGAGCAGAAUUAGAUAAAGGAAGAUAGAGAUGGUAUUAGAGAUAGGAGUUUGGUGGUGUUGCUGUGUGAUUCCCAGGAUAUGCAACGAGACCAAAGCAAUUGCAAGGUACCUGUUGCUGCCACUGCAAACAGCACAUAAGCAGGUUAUGGUGGCCAAGGCCAUGGCGAUUUAAAACCUAGUAUCAAAAUUUCUCAUUUCC
rnacentral:misc_RNA from 1 species